CCUACGGGUGGCAGCAGUGGGGAAUAUUGGACAAUGGGCGAAAGCCUGAUCCAGCCAUGCCGCGUGAGUGAUGAAGGCCUUAGGGUUGUAAAGCUCUUUCAGCGGGGAGGAUAAUGACGUUACCCGCAGAAGAAGCCCCGGCUAACUUCGUGCCAGCAGCCGCGGUAAUACGAAGGGGGCAAGCGUUGUUCGGAAUCACUGGGCGUAAAGCGCGCGUAGGCGGAUUGUUAAGUCAGGGGUGAAAGCCCGAGGCUCAACCUCGGAACUGCCUUUGAUACUGGCAAUCUGGAGUCCGGGAGAGGUGAGUGGAACUCCUAGUGUAGAGGUGAAAUUCGUAGAUAUUAGGAAGAACACCAGUGGCGAAGGCGGCUCACUGGCCCGGUACUGACGCUGAUGUGCGAAAGCGUGGGGAGCAAACAGGAUUAGAUACCCGUGUAGUC
rnacentral:rRNA from 1 species